rnacentral:rRNA from 1 species
UGGGGAAUAUUGGACAAUGGGCGCAAGCCUGAUCCAGCCAUGCCGCGUGAGUGAUGAAGGCUCUAGGGUUGUAAAGCUCUUUCACCGGUGAAGAUAAUGACGGUAACCGGAGAAGAAGCCCCGGCUAACUUCGUGCCAGCAGCCGCGGUAAUACGAAGGGGGCUAGCGUUGUUCGGAUUUACUGGGCGUAAAGCGCACGUAGGCGGACUUUUAAGUCAGGGGUGAAAUCCCGGGGCUCAACCCCGGAACUGCCUUUGAUACUGGAAGUCUUGAGUAUGGUAGAGGUGAGUGGAAUUCCGAGUGUAGAGGUGAAAUUCGUAGAUAUUCGGAGAAGCACCAGUGGCGAAGGCGGCUCACUGGACCAUUACUGACGCUGAGGUGCGAAAGCGUGGGGAGCAAACAGG